GACGAACGCUGGCGGCGUGCCUAAUACAUGCAAGUUGAGCGCUGAAGGUUGGUACUUGUACCAACUGGAUGAGCAGCGAACGGGUGAGUAACGCGUGGGGAAUCUGCCUUUGAGCGGGGGACAACAUUUGGAAACGAAUGCUAAUACCGCAUAAAAACUUUAAACACAAGUUUUAAGUUUGAAAGAUGCAAUUGCAUCACUCAAAGAUGAUCCCGCGUUGUAUUAGCUAGUUGGUGAGGUAAAGGCUCACCAAGGCGAUGAUACAUAGCCGACCUGAGAGGGUGAUCGGCCACAUUGGGACUGAGACACGGCCCAAACGCCUACGGGAGGCAGCAGUAGGGAAUCUUCGGCAAUAGACGAAAGUCUGGCCGAGCAACGCCGCGUGAGUGAAGAAGGUUUUCGGAUCGUAAAACUCUGUUGGUAGAGAAGAACGUUGGUGAGAGUGGAAAGCUCAUCAAGUGACGGUAACUACCCAGAAAGGGACGGCUAACUACGUG
rnacentral:rRNA from 1 species